rnacentral:rRNA from 1 species
UACGUAGGGUGCGAGCGUUGUCCGGAAUUAUUGGGCGUAAAGGGCUCGUAGGCGGUUUGUCGCGUCGGGAGUGAAAACUCAGGGCUUAACCCUGAGCCUGCUCCCGAUACGGGCAGACUAGAGGUAUGCAGGGGAGAACGGAAUUCCUGGUGUAGCGGUGAAAUGCGCAGAUAUCAGGAGGAACACCGGUGGCGAAGGCGGGUCUCUGGGCCGACACUGACGCUGAGGAGCGAAAGCGUGGGGAGCGAACAGG